CGGUAGCUGCCUGGUGCGUCAGGCCAAUAUUUCCCUGGGGCCAAUGACGAUCCUUCGGGAGCUGUCCCUGUCUAGAUCCUGGUCUAGGUAUAUGGCGCCCACCUGCUUGCGCAGGCCACAGAGGAUUCUGUGCCAACGGCCAAGGCGGCUACCAC
rnacentral:other from 1 species